UGGGGAAUAUUGCACAAUGGGGGAAACCCUGAUGCAGCGACGCCGCGUGAGUGAAGAAGUAUUUCGGUAUGUAAAGCUCUAUCAGCAGGGAAGAAGCAGACGGUACCUGACUAAGAAGCCCCCGGCUAACUACGUGCC
rnacentral:rRNA from 1 species